GGGAGAAUCCUGAAUUCGAAAGGGAUUGGAUUCAAGUCCAUCCGAGCUGUACGGGGCUCCCUAGCCAGAUGGCGCUGGUCGCCCGCUGCGGUUCACUCCGUCUGCGGUGUCGUUCCCGGCGAUCACUCGGCGAGGUGCAGUUUUCCCGGGGCCGGUGGAGUGCACUUCCCCCCUAGUAGAAACGUCGCGACCCGUUGGGUGCCGGUCUAAGGCCCGGGAUGGCAGCCCGUGUGUCCUGUGGGGGCUCCCACAGGCGCGUGGACACCUGGUGACCCGGCCGGCUGCCCGACGGUAUGACCAGAGGAGUCGAUCCGCUGAAUGGGAAACACUGUGGUUGUGUAGCGUCCGGCCCGGCGCCGACGCGUGCGGGGAUUGAGGUGUAAACCGGGGGUGUCCGUGCGAAGCACGGCCCCGGCCCCGCUGCGCGUUCGGAUUGUUCGGUGUCCUCGGACUGGAUCAGCACUCCCGUCUGCGACGCCACCUUCGGAUGGUCUCCCG
rnacentral:rRNA from 1 species